AUGAAUCUUCAUUCACUUAUUCUGCUCUGUGCUUCAGCAGCUGCUGUAUUUGGAAAUGUCAUCAAACCAGAUGAAACAGAUGUAGUUGCUGAGGAGGGUUCAAGUGUUACAUUAUCCUGUAGUUUUUCUGCCUCUGGAGCUCAAGAUUGUCUCUUCUGGUACCGUCAGUAUGGAAGAUCAAAACCUGAAUUUCUUGUUUCCACCUACAGUACUGCAACAGAUCCUGAAGUAUCUAAAGUAGAUUCAAGAUUCUCUGUUAAAGUUGAAAAAAAGGAACAAAUCCACAUGGAUCUGAUCAUCUCCUCUGCUGCAGUAUCAGACUCUGCUCUGUAUUACUGUGCUCUGAGGCCCACAGUCACAGGAAACACAAGAUCACUGUACAAAAAACCUGAUACAGUGAGAGAGAGAUGA